CCCUGGGUGGUACAGACUGUUAAACCUUUGACUCCUAACCAGAAGGUUGGUGGUUCGAAUCCACCCAUAGGCA
rnacentral:tRNA from 1 species